AUAUAAGUGUGGUAGUAGUAGUAGUAGUAGUAGUAGUGGUAGUAGGUGGGUCGUAGAAGUUGACGGUGUAAGGUGUCGAAUAGUACGUUAAAAGGUGUUCUAAAAUGCGUGGUGAUAGUAGUAGGUGGAUAAUAGUAGUAGUAGUAGUAGUAGUAGUAGUAGUAGUAGUAGUAGUAGUAGUAGUAGUAGUAGGAAUGUGCGUGUGGGUGUAUGUGCGUGUGUGCGUGUGUUGGUUUUCAUCAAUAUAAUCAUUACACACACACACACACACACACAUACACACACACACACACACACACGCACACACGCACACACGCACACACGCACGCACGCACGCACACACAAGAUAAUCUAUACUAACUACAAGACUGAGAGAGAGAGAGAGAGAGAGAGAGAGAGAGAGAGAGAGAGAGAGAGAGAGAGAGAGAGAGAGAGAGAGAGAGA